rnacentral:rRNA from 1 species
UACGGGAGGCAGCAGUGGGGAAUAUUGCACAAUGGGCGCAAGCCUGAUGCAGCCACGCCGCGUGUAUGAAGAAGGCCUUCGGGUUGUAAAGCACUUUCAGCGAGGAGGAAAGGUUGGUAGCUAAUAACUCCCAGCUGUGACGUUACUCGC